rnacentral:rRNA from 1 species
AUACGGAGGACGCGAGCGUUAUCCGGAUUCAUUGGGUUUAAAGGGUGCGCAGGCGGCCGUGCAAGUCAGCGGUGAAAGCCCGGGGCUCAACCCCGGAAGUGCCGUUGAUACUGCAUGGCUGGAAUGCGGUCGAGGCGGGCGGAACGGGGCGGGUAGCGGCGGAAUGCGUAGAUAUGGCACAGAACGCCGAUAGCGGAGGCAGCUCGCCAGGCCUGCAUUGACGCUCGGGCACGAAAGCGUGGGGAUCAAACAGGAUUAGAUACCCUGGUAGUCCACGCAGUAAACGAUGAUGGCUAACCGCUGGGCUUAUCAGUUCAGUGGCCAAGCGAAAGCGAUAAGCCAUCCACCUGGGGAGUACGACCGCAAGGUUGAAACUCAAAUGAAUUGACGGGG